UUGAUUCUUAAAUGAAAAGGAAGCAAAAUGUAUUUCUUUAAUUACAAGAAGAAUUAAUUCUAGAGACGAAGAAGUCAGUUCUCAAACAAAGAUCAAUAGUGAAGAAUCAAUUCUGAGAUAAAGAGAAGUCAGUUCUUGGAUGAUAGAAACUACAGGCCUUGUGAAGAACUGACACCUAAGAGACAAAGAAUCGAUUCUGGAGAGAUAGAAGGCAGAAGGAGAAAAGCAAUGAAGAAAGAAUCGAUUCUACAAGAAAAAAAAAUGGUUCUUAAAGCACCACAAGUACAAAUUAGAAAUUUAGUGACCAAUAAAGGCAUGGCACAACUAGAGAAAAGUGGAGUGGCAAAAUUCAAGCUUAAAUUCAAAUUUUGGCCCAGUCCACAGUGAAGAGCCAACACCAUGAGGUAAAAGAAUCGAUUUUACAAGAUUGCAAAGGUGUCAUCUUUACGUCCAGUUGUAGAAGAACAGAGACUUCUGAAUAGAAGAAUCGACUCUUCAAAGACAACAAGCUACAAGCUUUGCAAAGAACCAACAACUUAACUACAAAGAAUCAAUUCUAUAAAAGGAAUAAAUUUGUGCAAGUUGGUGUGAACGUACAAAAAAUGAUUCGAACCUUACUCUAACAGGUAGGAAAUCUCAAAGGCUAUAAAUAUACAUCUUAAGGACAUUAAAGCAAGAAAAGAAGAGGAUGUUGAAAGAUUUUGAAUCAUCCUUCAAGAGAAAAAAAAAUGAAAAACCAAGAACAGCAACUGUGAGCAGAAAAGUUUCUACCUUUGAGCAAGGAAAGAGCCUAAAGUUCAUAUCUCUACUCUUCAACUGAUCUUUCUUGAGCUUAGACCUUCCUUGAUCAUUCUUAUCUUGGUGAAAGCUUAUACCUUUCUGAACCUAAACUUUGUUAUCUACCUUUUAGAAGGUUUUAGUUUGUGGUUCACUUAAAUCCACUAUUCUAUUGGUUAUACCUCUAAGCAAAAGGUAAAGGGGUUUUGCCUAAUCCUUUAAAAGGCUUUCUCUUAUGUACACGUUGGGCUUUAUCUUGAAAAGAUAGAAUCUUGGCAGAGGUUAUGCCUAAUGUCACAACCCAGUACUCCUCUCGAGCUCGUGACAACCGUCGCGACAUCUCGAUAGACAUUCAUUGCCCGGAAUGCCAACCGGAACCUCGCAAGGCUUUAAUAUCAGUUUUCACACCUCCCCUAUGAGCAAUAGUUGUUAAGUAUCAUGUUUUGAGAGAUUAUAAACUAUUUCCAAAUCAAAACAAUAGAAAAAUAUUUUUUUUCUCAUAAGGGCAUUUUGGUCAUUUUUUCUCAAAAAUCUCGAAACCAGUUAAAAGUGUAGUAUGCAAGUAGAAAACACAUAUUUCAUAAUAAAAAAUAAGUUUAGAUGUCUAAAACAUUCAUUUAAAGUGAAACUAUACCUAUUUGAAUAUAAUAAAAAUAUUUAAUAAAAUAUUUUAUUUUCUUAUAAACAAUAUUUAUAGAGUUACGGUAAAUAAUUUUUUUGUAGCGUAAAAGCUAAAUAAAUUCAUACAUACUGUAAUACAGAUAACCAAAGUAUAAGAUUUAAUUUACAGUGACACGUGGACCCACGAACGACCAAAAGUAUCAAAAGCGAUAAACCUAUAAUUUUUUAGGAUGUAAGUCCAACUGUAGCCCUCAACAAAAUGAGCUAUCUACUGACUAUUCUGAGCCUGAAAGGGAUGGAAAGGAGGGUGAUGAGAUUAUAUAAUCCCAGUGAGUAAACAAAUAUCAUGUAAAAUAUCUAAAGCCGAGUAAAUGGAGACAGAUAAAAUAGAUUAGCAUAAAAAUGAUUCACAGCAUUUCGAACUCAUUUUAAUAAGAUAAAAUAGAUUCAUUUCACCCAAAUAAACAACGAGGCUUAUGAUUUCCUGAAAAGCUUGGCUCGUGCCAAAAUCAUUCUCAUACUCAGUUAUCAGGGAUACCUUGGCCUGGGGCUAUCCCAACCAAGUCCGUUAAGGCUGUUAAAAAGUCAUGUACGCAUAAAUCACGUUUUUAUUUUGAAAACAUAACCAUCCCUUGGCGUUGACUGAGUUCACCCUCACGUGGUGGUUCAGCGUGAAGUGAACUCUAAAGUUGUACCUCGAGAGUUACCCUACACGCCUAUCCAACCGAGGUAAGAAUAUAACAGGAUUUCGUGCCCCUCAAAAAGGCUGGUCCACAGAACCCGCCCACUGCAAUAAGUUAAACCCACCAUACAAUAAAAUUUGCAAUAGCAUGAGAUGAUAAUUAUUUUAUUUUACAGCCUCUCAAGAAAAAUCAACAGUUCAUACAUUUUCAGCACAUUUACCAAUUCAACCAUUCAUGCCAAUAUUAUCAUAAGCCAUUCAACUCAAACCAUGAUUUAUAACACAACAAUUAGUCUCCAAUUACUCCAUUUUCAAAACCAUCAUUCAAUUUUAAGACAAUUUUAUAAAAUCAUUUCAUUUAAUCACAUUUUGCUUAUAAAACAUAAAGAUUUACCAUUUAAACUCAUUUUCCAUAAAAUCACAAAAUCGAAUAAAAAUUCACUUCAGAUAAUCAAGAUGAUGAUAAGGUUACUCACUGUAUCAGGAGUUUGAAAUAUUUCUAUUCUCAGUCCUCUAACACAACAUCUUUACCCUUGUUAGAGGGCUCACUACCUAUAUACAAUACACGACACAUAAUUCAAUAUACUGUGUCAUACCAUUAUAAAUCUAUUUCAGGCUCUUUACUAAUGCAUGAAAUGGGAUGUGAAACGCUUAGGUAACUAUCUAAAUACGGUGUUCAAUAUAAGUAAUUGUGUACCUAAAUAAAAUGGUAUUGGCCUAAUUCGAUCUAUCACCCGAUUAAUUGGCCAAUACGUCCAAUUCAACUCCAAAUAAUUCCAUUUUUCUCCCAAUACUCCAAAUCAUCAAACACAAAUUAAAUAACUUGAAAUAUGACAAAAUCAUCCUCACAUUUUCUCUUGGAAAAUUUGGCCAUGGAGGGGUCACUAACAAUAUAAUUUUUCAAGCUUGAUUCUCACACCAUAAAUCACUAAUUCCUAACCAAAUCACUUGAAAUAAAAUCAAAAUCAUCAUCAAUAUUCCACAUGGAGAAUUCGGCCAAUGAGGGUUAUGGAAGAACAUGAAUUUUUCUUGCUUGAUUUUCAUGCUACACAUCACCAAUCAACUAAAAAUACUAGAUAUCUUAAAAUCUAACCAAAACAACCAUCAAAAUCUCUCUCUAAGUGUUCGACCAGCCAGAUACCCAUCAUGAAAUCAUGUGAUUCAACCAUGGAAAAUGCAAAAGAAUGUAUGGCAAAGGUAGAUCACAAGUCAAAAUCAAGAAAUUUUACCUUUGAUUGCUUGAUUACUUGAAAUCCACCAAUUUUCUCUUGAAUUUUCACUCUAGGGUUUUUGUUCUUUCUUUUCUUCCUUUGUUCUUACUUUGGC
rnacentral:lncRNA from 1 species